GAAAAAAGAAGUAGAAGAAACCAUAAUAGUAAUUAAAGGUUACAAUUUAUUUUCCCAACUACGAGGAAAUUAUUAUCAAAGAUAACAAUUAUUAUUAUUAUUGUGGAUUUCCGCUACAAUAUAUAAUAGCCUCAAUAAUUUUCAGCACUUUUAACCCAGGUUUGUAUCAAUUUUGCCAUCUGGUCCGCAUCUAAUCUGACAUUUUUCGUCGCAACGUUGGUACUCUCUCCAUGAGUGACCAACACAGGCGGUGUUACAAGAGUCCUAGCAAUCGACGUCUUGAGCAGCGACGCCGACAGUGUCUGUGUUGGAAGAUAGAAGGAUCAUCAGCACAAUAGCCAUGGUUCCCACUGCAUUCAUUUUCUUCUUCUUCUCCAUCAUUUUUUUUCUGUAUAGUUAGAUGCCUUUUUAAUUUUAUUUUAAAGUGGGUGUGAAUUAAUUAUAAAAGAUGGAGAAGAGAUAUUUAUAGCAUUAAUGCUGCAACGAUUUUCA
rnacentral:misc_RNA from 1 species